rnacentral:rRNA from 1 species
AUUGAACGCUGGCGGCAGGCCUAACACAUGCAAGUCGAGCGGAUGAAGGGAGCUUGCUCCUGGAUUCAGCGGCGGACGGGUGAGUAAUGCCUAGGAAUCUGCCUGGUAGUGGGGGAUAACGUCCGGAAACGGGCGCUAAUACCGCAUACGUCCUGAGGGAGAAAGUGGGGGAUCUUCGGACCUCACGCUAUCAGAUGAGCCUAGGUCGGAUUAGCUAGUUGGUGGGGUAAAGGCCUACCAAGGCGACGAUCCGUAACUGGUCUGAGAGGAUGAUCAGUCACACUGGAACUGAGACACGGUCCAGACUCCUACGGGAGGCAGCAGUGGGGAAUAUUGGACGAUGGGCGAAAGCCUGAUCCAGCCCUGCCGCGUGUGUGAAGAAGGUCUUCGGAUUGUAAAGCACUUUAAGUUGGGAGGAAGGGCAGUAAGUUAAUACCUUGCUGUUUUGACGUUACCAACAGAAUAAGCACCGGCUAACUUCGUG